AACGAACGCUGGCGGCAUGCCUAACACAUGCAAGUCGAACGAGACCUUCGGGUCUAGUGGCGCACGGGUGCGUAACGCGUGGGAACCUGCCCUUAGGUUCGGAAUAACUCCCCGAAAGGGGUGCUAAUACCGGAUAAUGUCUUCGGACCAAAGAUUUAUCGCCUUUGGAUGGGCCCGCGUUGGAUUAGCUAGUUGGUAGGGUAAAAGCCUACCAAGGCGACGAUCCAUAGCUGGUCUGAGAGGAUGAUCAGCCACACUGGGACUGAGACACGGCCCAGACUCCUACGGGAGGCAGCAGUGGGGAAUAUUGGGCAAUGGGCGAAAGCCUGAUCCAGCAAUGCGGCGUGAGUGAUGAAGGCCUUAGGGUUGUAAAGCUCUUUUACCCGGGAUGAUAAUGACAGUACCGGGAGAAUAAGCUCCGGCUAACUCCGUG
rnacentral:rRNA from 1 species